rnacentral:rRNA from 1 species
UACGUAGGGAGCAAGCGUUGUCCGGAAUCAUUGGGCGUAAAGCGCGCGUAGGUGGCCUCAUAAGUCCGCUGUGAAAGUCAAAGGCUCAACCUUUGAAAGCCGGUGGAUACUGUGGGGCUAGAGUACGGAAGAGGCGAGUGGAAUUCCUGGUGUAGCGGUGGAAUGCGCAGAUAUCAGGAGGAAUACCUAUGGCGAAAGCAGGUAUCUGGGCCAUCACUGACGCUGAGCUGCGAAAGCUAGGGGAGCAAACAGG